rnacentral:rRNA from 11 species
UUGACCUCAAAUCAGGUAGGACUACCCG